GACGAACGCUGGCGGCGUGCUUAACACAUGCAAGUCGAACGGAAAGGCCCUGCUUUUGUGGGGUGCUCGAGUGGCGAACGGGUGAGUAACACGUGAGUAACCUGCCCUUGACUUUGGGAUAACUUCAGGAAACUGGGGCUAAUACCGGAUAGGAGCUCCUGCUGCAUGGUGGGGGUUGGAAAGUUUCGGCGGUUGGGGAUGGACUCGCGGCUUAUCAGCUUGUUGGUGGGGUAGUGGCUUACCAAGGCUUUGACGGGUAGCCGGCCUGAGAGGGUGACCGGCCACAUUGGGACUGAGGUACGGCCCAGACUGCUACGGGAGGCAGCAGGGGGGAAUAUUGCACAAUGAGCGGAAGCCUGAUGCAGCAACGCCGCGUGCGGGAUGACGGCCUUCGGGUUGUAAACCGCUUUCGCCUGUGACGAAGCGUGAGUGACGGUAAUGGGUAAAGAAGCACCGGCUAACUACGUG
rnacentral:rRNA from 1 species